AGAAACCCGCAUACGCUGGGAAACCAAAAGACGCCCUACACAAGCACGCUUGGAGCAGAAACCAAGCUGAAGAGAAAAAUCAAGAGACACAAAGCAAGAUAAUCAAACAUCCAAGUUGAAGAGGAGGAUCCUCCUUCACGAGAUUUCUGUGCGAAAUAGGUAUGGGUAUUCCUAGGCGUGGUUGUUUCAAAAUCUAAGCCAUGGGUUAUUGAUUUGGGGGUUCUGUGAUAAGUUUUGAAGAAGAAGAUCCUUCAUCGCAAGAUUUCUGCGCGAAAUAGGUAUGGGAAACUCAGAUGACAUAGGACAUGGCUAGAAAGGUGUCUGCAACAACACAAGAUGUGUGUUCUUUUUUGGUCAAAUUAGAAUAUUGUUCCUUCCACUACAAGGAAGUGUGUAGGUUUUUUUUUUAAUCAUGUACAUGUAAAACGAAACUCAAUUUUCAAGUGUCAAUAAAUUGUUCGUAAUUAUCUGCUCAAA